rnacentral:lncRNA from 1 species
UUUAGAGUUAUACGUAAAUAAUCUUUGCAGCAUAAAAGUAAAAUAAAUUCAUACAUACUGUAAUACAGUAAGCUAGAGUAUUUAAUUUAAUUUACAAUAACCAGUGGGCCCUCGACUAACCAAAAGUAAGGAGGACUGUGAACCUACAGUUUGGAGGAUGCAAAUCCGAUAGUAGCCUCGAUGAAAUCAGUUAUCUAUAGCCUAUUCUGAGCAUGAAAUGGGUGGAAAAGAGGGUGGUGAGAUUAUAUAAUCCCAAGUGAGUAAACAAACAUUAUUCAAAAUAUCUAAAGUCGAGUAAAUGGAGACGAUUAAAAUAUUCCAUCUCAAUAUGUAUUUCAUAACAUAAAUAUUCAUUUCAUUUAAAUAAUCAACAUGGCUUAUGAGUAUCUUAAAAGCUUAGCUCCUGUCAAAAUCAUUCUCGAAAAUACCUUGACCGAGGCAUUUAACAGAGUCUGCCAAGGCUGUUAAAAAGUUUCGUAUACACAUAAACAUAUUUUUAAUUUGAAAAACACAGCCGUUCCUUGGCGUUAGCGGAGUUCAUCAUCACGAGCUGGUUUGGCAUGACGUGAACUCUAACCAUACCUCAGGAGAUACCCUACGCGCCUCUCCGAUCGAGGUACAUAUAUAAUCGGAUUUCGUGCCCCUCUAAUAGGCUGGUCCACAGAACCCGCCCACUACAGCAAGCUAAACCCACCAUAUAAUAAAAAUUCAACAGCAUGACAUGGCAAUUUUAUCAUUAUCCAGCCUAUCAAGGCAAACGACAGUUUAUACAUUUCAACGCAAAUAUCAAUUCAGCCAUUCAUGCCAAUAUUGUCAUAAGCUAAUAAAUUAGAAGCAUAAAUUCACAAUACAUCAAAUGGUCUCCAAUUACUCUAUUUGCAAAGCCAUCAUUCAAUUUCAAGACAAUUUAUAAAAUCAUUUUAUUUAAACACAUUUUGUUUAUAAAACCUAAAAAUUAACCAUUUUACUCAUUUUCCAUAAAAUUCACAAAAUCGAAUAAAAAGAUCACUUUAGAUAAUUAAAAUGAUGAUAAGGUUACUCACUAUUUCGGGAGUCGAAUUUCUAGAGUACUUUGACUACCGAUCAUCAGGUACAAUUUCUUUGCCCUUAGCGGAGGAUUCACCACCUAGACAUGAUGCAAAAUCAAGCAAUUUACUACAUUGGUGCUAAAUCGUUAUAAAACUAUAUGGAUGCAUGAAAUGGAAUGCAAAUUGUUCGGAUUAUCGUCUAAACACGGUGUUCGCCUAAUUCGAUCUGUCAUUUAAUUAAUUGGCCAAUUCAACUCCAAUUAACUCCAUUUUUCUUCCAAUUCUCCAAACCAUCAAUCACAAAUUCAAUAGCAUAAAAUUUAGCAACAUCACCUUCACAUUUUCCCUUGGGAAUUUCGGCCAUGAUGGGUGCAUCAAUAUUAUAAUUUUUCCUACUUGAUUUUCUCACCGAAAUUCAUUAUUUUCUAACCAAAUCACUUGAAAUAACAAUCAAAAUCAUCAUCAAUAUUCCACAUGGAGAAUUCGGCCAAUGAUGGGUAAUGGGAGAAAAUGAAUUUUUCUUGUUGGUUUUUCAUGCUACACAUCACUAACUAACUAAAAACACUAAAAUACAUUGAAAUCUAACCAAAUCAAGCAUCAAAACUCCUCCCCCCAUGUCCGGCCAGCAAGAGACCCAUCAUGAUUUCAUAUGAUUCAACCAUGGAAAAUCAAAAAGAAUGCAUGGGAAAGUUAGAUCUCAAGCUUUAUUGAAAAAAUCUUACCUUUUUCACUUGUUUCCUUGAAUUUUCACACUUUUCCUUUGAAUUUUUCCACCUAGGGUUCUUGUUCUUUCUUUGGCCGGC